rnacentral:rRNA from 1 species
CCUACGGGGGGCUGCAGUGGGGAAUAUUGGACAAUGGGGGGAACCCUGAUCCAGCCAUGCCGCGUGUGUGAAGAAGGCCCUCGGGUUGUAAAGCACUUUCAGUGAGGAAGAACGCCUGGUGGUUAAUACCCAUCAGGAAAGACAUCACUCACAGAAGAAGCACCGGCUAACUCCGUGCCAGCAGCCGCGGUAAUACGGAGGGUGCGAGCGUUAAUCGGAAUUACUGGGCGUAAAGCGCGCGUAGGUGGCUUGAUAAGCCGGUUGUGAAAGCCCCGGGCUCAACCUGGGAACGGCAUCCGGAACUGUCAAGCUAGAGUGCAGGAGAGGAAGGUAGAAUUCCCGGUGUAGCGGUGAAAUGCGUAGAGAUCGGGAGGAAUACCAGUGGCGAAGGCGGCCUUUUGGACUGACACUGACACUGAGGUGCGAAAGCGUGGGUAGCAAACAGGAUUAGAUACCCUUGUAGUC